rnacentral:lncRNA from 1 species
GAUCUUGGAAAUCACUUAUUGGAAGUCACUCAGAAAUUGACACUCAUUUUCUGAAAUGCACCCAGAAAGCUUGGAAUGACUAAUUAAUGUAAGAAAAAUCCUGAAAAAUUAUGCAGUGUUAGCAAUUAAUGUAAAAAGUUCUAAAAUAAUAAAUUGAUUGGUGGGGAUGGAAUCCAUCCACAUAUCAUCUGCAUAUCAUAAAGGUUGUUCUCUUUCUUCCAAUAAUGGCCUGCCACACUUCUGAUAGGACCUUUUUCUUCUUUCCUUAUGCUUUCCUAUAUACAGGAAUUCUCAAACUUUAUAUUGUCUUUUGUUAUAUUGUCCCAUAUGUCAUUUUACCCAAAUGAAUUUAUUAAUCAAAGAACAAAUUCAUCUCUACAUUCUCUCAUAUUAUGUUGUUGUUAUGCUAUUAAUAAAGUAGUACUUAAUUAUCAGGAUGGGAAUGAUAUGCAUUUUGCAUAUGUGUGUGUGUUUGUGUGUGUUUCCUGCCUUUAAGCACAUCUAAUUUAAUACAUUAAUUUAGGAUAUAGAUUCAAUCCUGGAUCUUAUAGAUAGAAAGCUGAACCAUUUCUGCUGAUAUGCACGGUUUUCCUGAAAGAUUAGCCAAAUUUAAAUCACAAAUAAUACUCAUCAAAAUAAAAAAGUCCAUAUAAACAUAUUUCCAAAAAUCUUUCCUUUUUGAGAUAACAUAGAAUAUAAUAAAUAUACCAUAUAUAUGCAUGUAUAAGCAAG